AUUGAACGCUGGCGGCAGGCCUAACACAUGCAAGUCGAGCGAGCGGCGGACGGGUGAGUAAUGUCUGGGAAACUGCCUGAUGGAGGGGGAUAACUACUGGAAACGGUAGCUAAUACCGCAUACCAUCGGAUGUGCCCAGAUGGGAUUAGCUAGUAGGGGGGGUAACGGCUUACCUAGGCGACGAUCCCUAGCUGGUCUGAGAGGAUGACCAGCCACACUGGAACUGAGACACGGUCCAGACUACUCCGCGAGGCAGCUGUGGGGAAUAGUGCACAAUGGGCGCAAGCCUGAUGCAGCCAUGCGGCGUGUAUGAAGAAGUCCUUCGGGUUGUAAAGUACUUUCAGUGGGGAGGCGUUACCCGCAGAAGAAGCACCGGCUAACUCCGUGCCAGCCGCCGCGGUAAUUC
rnacentral:rRNA from 1 species